rnacentral:rRNA from 1 species
CAGACCUCUGAUCAGAAAAGACUACCCGCUGAGU